UUAAUUAAAGCCAAAUUAGAGGCAAAUCACUGUUAAUGAUUCUACUGGAAAAUUUCCUAAUUAAA
rnacentral:tRNA from 1 species